rnacentral:lncRNA from 1 species
GUGGGAGACCGAUCCAGCCUCGUCAGGAACUGAGCCGUGUUUGGGUUUUGUUCUUAUUCUAUUACUGUCGGUGCACUAUAGACUCCAGCUCUCUCUAACAUUGUCUUGUAUUUACGUUUGAGGCUAGUUUGCCAGAGGUUUUCUCAGUGUCUGUUCUACUCUUGGUUUACAUGUUCUCCUUGGCCUGUUGAAAUGUCUUUAUGUUCUUCAUGACCAUUCAGCAGUAGAUUGCUGUUUUUAUUUAUUGCUUAUUAGCCUGGCUGGUAGUGGUGAUGGUUAUGGUAAAGGGGGUGUUCUCUGCUUUUCUGAUUCAUUAUUAGUUUUAGACCAACACUGUGACCUUGGGUCUCAGGAGUAGAGCCUUUCCAUGAUCCUACCCCACCGUCAGAUGGAAGACUUCUAAUUGUCUGGGGCUUACAAGGAUAGAAGUGUUUUGUUGUUGUUAUUGGGUUUUUUUCCCUUUCUCUGACUGCAAUGGGUCUUCACCAAUUCAUAAUUUAAUGUCUCAUGUUAGGAUUUAC